rnacentral:misc_RNA from 1 species
GAAAUGGGAUAAGUAGUGUGAAUUGCAGAAUUCAGUGAAUCAUCGAAUCUUUGAACGCACAUUGCGCCCCUUGGUAUUCCAUGGGGCAUGCCUGUUCGAGCGUCAUUUGUACCCUCAAGCUCUGCUUGGUGUUGGGUGUUUGUCCCGUCUCCGCGCGUGGACUCGCCCCAAAGUGAUUGGCAGCCGGCGUACUGGUCCCGGAGCGCAGCACAUGUCGCGCAAACGAGUGCCUUGGUACGGCGGCGUCCAUAAGCCCCUCUCUCACGCUCUUGACCUCGGAUCAGGUAGGGAUACCCGCUGAACUUAAGC